UUGGCGAUUGGAUCUAUGAUAAUGCAAGAUGCAUCAGCGAACAUAAUCUCAUCCAAAUUCCUACAAUUGGUUGAGAAUGUAGAUGAUAUUAAGGGCUAUGCCUGGGUUAACCUGCACACGAGUCUUCUCAAAAUAAAGAGAGACCGUAGUGGAUCCACCAACGUUCUUGCAGGCAUUUAUUUUCUCCCAUCUACCUUCCGUUAUGCAUGUAUGCUAUAAAGAUAUUCAUCCUGGAGGCUUCUCAUGUUUUGAGAGACUUGCUCAUUAAACUGCAUGAUGCAUUUCGUAUGGUGACUGAUGAUCAUGUUGUGUGGAACCAUCAGGGGUGUUUGCCCAACAAAGGACAGUUGGUAGAUCCAUUACCGCUGUCAUUUGUGGCAAUUAUGCGCUAUCCUAUCGUCCACAUGUAGCGUAUCAGCAAUUCCUCGAUGGAGAGCCACACUUUCAGCCAGAGUGGCUCGAUGCCUUCAGAUUGAUCCGCGGCCGAAGAAGAUAAUGGAGGAUGCUAUGCAUCAAAGUUUGAUUGCCUCAUGGGACUCAAGAAGCACUCGUUUGAUAACUGAGGCACUUUCCAUUUAAACUUUCUAAUAAUCAUAUCUUACUAUGUAAAAUCUGAAAUUUUGGGUACUUAUUAGUAUCCUAGCUACAUGCAGCAGCCUUGACUAAUUAGCUUAAUCAUAGACUUUACUUAGAAAAUUAUUAUUACCUAAUUCCGCUCCUUACAUAGCCAUUGCUAUCUAGAAGCA